rnacentral:rRNA from 1 species
UAAACUGGGAUUAGAUACCCCACUAUGCAUAGCCGUAAACAUUGAUAACAACUUACCCACACAUCCGCCCGGGUACUACAAGCACCAACUUGAAACCCAAAGGACUUGGCGGUGCUUUAGACCCACCUAGAGGAGCCUGUUCUAGAACUGAUACCCCCCGUUAAACCUCACCCUCCCUUGUUACUUCCGCCUAUAUACCGCCGUCGUCAGCUUACCCUAUGAAGGUCUUAUAGUGAGCACAACUGGUACAACCUUAAACGUCAGGUCGAGGUGUAGUGAAUGAGAGGGGAAGAAAUGGGCUACAUUCAUCUACUGAUGAACAACGGACAAUUUAUUGAAAACAUAAAUCAAAAGGAGGAUUUAGCAGUAAAAAGGAAAUAGAGUGUCCUUUUGAAAUUGGCCCUGAAGCGCGCACACACCGCCCGUCACCCUC